GAUGAAGAACGCAGUGAAAUGCGAUAAGUAAUGUGAAUUGCAGAAUUCAGUGAAUCAUCGAAUCUUUGAACGCACAUUGCGCCCAUUAGUAUUCUAGUGGGCAUGCCUGUUCGAGCGUCAUUAAGUCCACUUAAGCCCUGCUUAGUGUUGGGAGACUGCUCCAGCGGUGCUACCCUGUAGCUACCCUGCAGCUCCUCAAAGACAGCGGCGGAGUUGUGGUAUCCUCUGAGCUUAGUAACUUGUUCUAGCUUUCGAGUACACCACUUCCCCUGCCGUAAAACCCUUAAUUUUUAAUGGUUGACCUCGGAUCAGGUAGGAAUACCCGCUGAACUUAAGCAUAUCAAUAACGGAGGA
rnacentral:misc_RNA from 1 species